GUAAAGGUUUGAUAAAUAAAAUGUGUUGUAAUAACUUAAAAAUUUAAAAAAGUUCAUUAGUCUCAAAUUUUCUGUGUCAUGUGUACAUUUUUUUAUUUUUAAGUUUACAGUGCUCAAACGCUUUAAUUGAUUUUUGUCAUAGCACUAUCCCGCCUGACGUCACAUCCAUGUGCAUUCAACGCACAUGCUCAUCUGGGCCUGGGAGAGAGUUCGCCAUUUUGGUCUGCUUGCUCGGGUGCGUUUUUUUUUUUGGUCGAGAAAAGUUGAGAAAAUAUAGCGAAACAGGUUUCACAGUGGCAUUAUUCUGUGAAUACACGCGCUGUAGCAUGCAGCAAUUUUACGAAGAUCAUCGGACAAAGUUUUAUUCCGUUUUGACCACGCUGUCUGCUGUUAUAUCGAUUUUGGUUUUGGGAGCAUAAAUCUGGUUAAAACUGAAGCAGCUGGCCAGCAUACAGCGUUUUCAGUACGGUCCUACGAGUGCUGGUACAUCGAACAUUUAAAAUCAUUUAAGCUGACAUCAUUGGACAACUUCUCUGUGCAUGAGCUAUCAGAACUAAAUGACACAGAAUGGAAGCGCAGAACUUUUUCCUGCAUGUCCAUACAUCCACUGACAUUGUGAGGAAGAUGACUUUAUCUUCACGUCCAGCAUCUGUGGAAGAGCUAAAAACAAAGAUAAAAGAGAAAUUUGAUCUCACCAUUGACUUUACCCUAUCAUACCAAGAUCCUGACUUCAAUGGGCAACUAUGUUCCCUUUUAGACAUUGAGGAACUUCCACAGAAGGCUGUCCUUAUAGUGGUGCGAUCUGAGAAUGAUGCUAGUUCUGUAGCAUCUG